CGCUCGACAUCAGAGUUUGAUCCUGGCUCAGGACGAACGCUGGCGGCGUGCCUAACACAUGCAAGUCGAACGGAGUUAAGACUUCGGUUUUAACUUAGUGGCGAACGGGUGAGUAACGCGUGAGAAACCUGCCUUUCAGUGGGGGACAACAGUUGGAAACGACUGCUAAUACCGCAUAAAGUAUUUUGACCGCAUGAUCGAAAUACCAAAGCUUAAUGUGCUGAAAGAUGGUCUCGCGUCUGAUUAGCUAGUUGGUGAGGUAACGGCUCACCAAGGCGACGAUCAGUAGCCGGUCUGAGAGGAUGAACGGCCACAUUGGGACUGAGAUACGGCCCAG
rnacentral:rRNA from 1 species